rnacentral:lncRNA from 1 species
GGGAGUUCUUGACAAUCAUUAAGUACCAAAUAUGACUGUCAAUAUACUCAAUAAUAAAGAAGGAUUGGCAUUUCUUACACACUUAUUUGUUUUCGAAUAAUGUAGUUCCACUUGUCCUUGGAGAUUAUUUGGUUGCAGGUGAAAUAACAUAAAAGGAUGGAGAAAGCACACUAUGGACCCGAGAAAAGCACUUCCAACCAAUGGGAGGUUACCACAUGUGCAUCCCAUGGAUUGAAGGGCCCACGAACUACCACAACUGCCUCAAUCCAACGAAUAACACAC